UACGUAGGGGGCAAGCGUUGUCCGGAAUCAUUGGGCGUAAAGCGCGUGUAGGCGGCUUGGUAAGUCCGCUCUGAAAGCCCGGGGCUCAACCCCGGGAGGCGGGUGGAUACUGUCAAGCUCGAGUCCGGAAGAGGCGAGUGGAAUUCCUGGUGUAGCGGUGAAAUGCGCAGAUAUCAGGAGGAACACCGAUGGCGAAGGCAGGUCUCUGGGCCACUACUGACGCUGAGAAGCGAAAGCAUGGGGAGCGAACAGG
rnacentral:rRNA from 1 species